AUGGGCGAGGUGGUGCUCAUCUCCCGCCCCGGCGAUGGCUGCGGGGGAAGCGGGGGCGUGGGGGAGUGGAAGGCGGACCAGGAGGAGCGGCAGGGGCAGGUGCUGGAGCUGCUGCUCACGGUGCUGCGCAAGUCGGUGGCGUUGCCGUGCCAGAUGGCGGACGCCGACGACCCAGCCGCCGGCGCGGGGGGCUAUGGGAUGGACAUCGGUUGGCCCACCGACGUCCACCACGUCGCGCAUGUCACCUUCGACCGCCUCCCGGGCUUCCUUGGCCUCCCCGUCGAGUUCGAGCUCCAGAUCCCCUGCCCAGCCCCCAGCGCCAGUGCCAGCGUGUUCGGGGUGUCGCCGGAGUCGAUGCAGUGCGGCUACAACGACAGGGGCAACUUGGUGCCCAAGAUCCUCCUGCUCAUGCAGGAGCGGCUCUACUCCCAGGAUGGCCUCAAGAUAGAGUCAACAAAGAUGGGUUUGGGAACUCAAAAAACCUGCAGUAGCAGUGUUGAUGAUGCUCCAAUUUCAGAGAAAGGUAAUAACAUGUUCAGUGCUCUGAAGGUUCCAGAGUCAUAA
rnacentral:rRNA from 1 species